rnacentral:rRNA from 1 species
UGCUAAGACAGGAUAGGAAAUUAAGAGGCAUCUUUUAAUUUUUAAAAGACCUUUUUCGAAAGGUAUACUUAAAGAGGGGCUUGCGCCACAUUAGUUAGUUGGUAAGGUAAAGGCUUACCAAGACGAUGAUGUGUAGCUGGACUGAGAGGUCGAACAGCCACAUUGGGACUGAGACACGGCCCAAACUCCUACGGGAGGCAGCAGUAAGGAAUUUUUGGCAAUGGAGGAAACUCUGACCGAGCGACGUCGCGUGAACAAUGAAGUACUUCGGUAUGUAAAGUUCUUUUAUUGAAAAAGAAAAAAUAGUGGAAAAACUAUCUUGACAUUAUUCAAUGAAUAAGCCCCGGCUAAUUAUGUGCCAGCAGCCGCGGUAAUACAUAAGGGGCGAGCGUUAUCCGGAAUUAUUGGGCGUAAAGGGUGCGUAGGCGGUUUGAUAAGUCUAUAGUUUAAAUGCAGUGCUUAACGCUGUAGCGCUAUAGAAACUGUCUGACUAGAGUUAGAUAGAGGCAAGCGGAAUUCCAUGUGUAGCGGUAAAAUGCGUAAAUAUAUGGAGGAACACCAGAGGCGUAGGCGGCUUGCUGGGUCUUAACUGACGCUGAGGCACGAAAGCGUGGGGAGCAAACAGGAUUAGAUACCCUGGUAGUCCACGCCGUAAACGAUGAGUACUAAGUGUCGGGUUUCGGCUCGGUACUGAAGUUAACACAUUAAGUACUCCGCCUGAGUAGUACGUACGCAAGUAUGAAACUUAAAGGAAUUGACGGGACCCCGCACAAGCGGUGGAUCAUGUUGUUUAAUUCGAAGAUACACGAAAAACCUUACCAGGUCUUGACAUAAUUUUGCGACAUUAUAGAAAUAUAAUGAAGGUUAUCAGAAUUACAGGUGGUGCAUGGUUGUCGUCAGCUCGUGUCGUGAGAUGUUAGGUUAAGUCCUAAAACGAGCGCAACCCUUGUCGUUAGUUGCGACCACGUAAUGGUGAGCACUUUAGCGAGACUGCCAAUGAAAAAUUGGAGGAAGGUGAGGAUUACGUCAAAUCAUCAUGCCCCUUAUGAUCUGGGCUACAAACGUGAUACAAUGGCUGUUACAAAGAGUAGCUACAACGUGAGUUUUUAGCCAAUCUCAAAAAAACAGUCUCAGUUCGGAUUGAAGUCUGCAACUCGACUUCAUGAAGUUGGAAUCGCUAGUAAUCGCGAAUCAGCAUGUCGCGGUGAAUACGUUCUCGGGGUUUGUACACACCGCCCGUCAAA